rnacentral:rRNA from 1 species
AUCUGGCCUAAUACUGACGCUGAGGUACGAAAGCAUGGGGAGCAAACAGGAUUAGAUACCCUGGUAGUCCAUGCCGUAAACGAUGUCUACUAGCCGUUGGGGCCUUUGAGGCUUUAGUGGCGCAGCUAACGCGAUAAGUAGACCGCCUGGGGAGUACGGUCGCAAGACUAAAACUCAAAUGAAUUGACGGAGGCCCGCACAAGCGGUGGAGCAUGUGGUUUAAUUCGAUGCAACGCGAAGAACCUUACCUGGCCUUGACAUACUAGAAACUUUCCAGAGAUGGAUUGGUGCCUUCGGGAAUCUAGAUACAGGUGCUGCAUGGCUGUCGUCAGCUCGUGUCGUGAGAUGUUGGGUUAAGUCCCGCAACGAGCGCAACCCUUUUCCUUACUUGCCAGCAUUUCGGAUGGGAACUUUAAGGAUACUGCCAGUGACAAACUGGAGGAAGGCGGGGACGACGUCAAGUCAUCAUGGCCCUUACGGCCAGGGCUACACACGUGCUACAAUGGUCGGUACAAAGGGUUGCUACCUAGCGAUAGGAUGCUAAUCUCAAAAAGCCGAUCGUAGUCCGGAUUGGAGUCUGCAACUCGACUCCAUGAAGUCGGAAUCGCUAGUAAUC